rnacentral:rRNA from 1 species
UACACUCCUACGGGAGGCAGCAGUGGGGAAUUUUACGCAAUGGGGGAAACCCUGACGUAGCGACACCGCGUGAGCGAAGAAGCCCUUUGGGGUGUAAAGCUCUGUCAGCUGGAACGAAAACAAUGACGGUACCAGCAGAGGAAGCAUCGGCUAACUACGUGCCAGCAGCCGCGGUAAGACGUAGGAUGCGAGCGUUGUCCGGAUUUAUUGGGCGUAAAGAGUUCGUAGGUGGUUUGUUAAGUUUGGUGUUAAAGAUCGGGGCUCAACCCUGGGACUGCACUGAAUACUGGCAGACUCGAGUGUGGUAGAGGCUAGUGGAAUUCCCAGUGUAGCGGUGAAAUGCGUAGAUAUUGGGAAGAACACCGGUGGCGUAGGCGACUAGCUGGGCCAUAACUGACGCUGAGGAACGAAAGCCAGGGGAGCGAAUGGGAUUAGAUACCCGUGUAGUCCC